rnacentral:rRNA from 1 species
UACGUAGGGGGCGAGCGUUGUCCGAAGUUACUGGGCGUAAAGCGCGCGUAGGCGGUUCUUUAAGUCUGGGGUGAAAGGUUCAGCGCUCAACGUGAACAGUGCCUUGGAUACUGGGGGACUUGAGUGUGGGGAGAGGGCAGUGGAAUUCCUGGUGUAGCGGUGAAAUGCGUAGAUAUCAGGAGGAACACCGAUGGCGAAGGCAGGACUGC